rnacentral:rRNA from 1 species
GCUCAGAUAUGACGAUGGACAUUGCAAAGAGUGGCGAACGGGUGAGUAACACGUGGGAAACCUACCUCUUAGCAGGGGAUAACAUUUGGAAACAGAUGCUAAUACCGUAUAACAAUAGCAACCGCAUGGUUGCUACUUAAAAGAUGGUUCUGCUAUCACUAAGAGAUGGUCCCGCGGUGCAUUAGUUAGUUGGUGAGGUAAUGGCUCACCAAGACGAUGAUGCAUAGCCGAGUUGAGAGACUGAUCGGCCACAAUGGGACUGAGACACGGCCCAUACUCCUACGGGAGGCAGCAGUAGGGAAUCUUCCACAAUGGGCGAAAGCCUGAUGGAGCAACGCCGCGUGUGUGAUGAAGGGUUUCGGCUCGUAAAACACUGUUGUAAGAGAAGAAUGACAUUGAGAGUAACUGUUCAAUGUGUG